UACGGAAGGCAGCAGUGGGGAAUAUUGCACAAUGGGCGCAAGCCUGAUGCAGCCAUGCCGCGUGUAUGAAGAAGGCCUUCGGGUUGUAAAGUACUUUCAGCGGGGAGGAAGGCGAUGCGGUUAAUAACCGCGUCGAUUGACGUUACCCGCAGAAGAAGCACCGGCUAACUCCGUGCCAGCAGCCGCGGUAAUACGGAGGGUGCAAGCGUUAAUCGGAAUUACUGGGCGUAAAGCGCACGCAGGCGGUCUGUUAAGUCAGAUGUGAAAUCCCCCGGGCUUAACCUGGGAACUGCAUUUUGAAACUGGCAGGCUUGAGUCUUGUAGAGGGGGUAGAAUUCCAGGUGUAGCGGUGAAAUGCGUAGAGAUCUGGAGGAAUACCGGUGGCGAAGGCGGGCCCCUGGACAAAGACUGACGCUCAGGUGCGAAAGCGUGGGGAGCAAACAGGAUUAGAUACC
rnacentral:rRNA from 1 species